UGAAGAAACAUAAUUUUAUUCAUCAAGAUGGCGGGUACAAUUCUGUUCCUCCCUUGAUUCUCCUAUCCUAAGAUUUAUCCAUGAUUCGAGGGUCAUUUGUGGCGUAUUUCUCGAACUAGGAUGAUUUAGAUUUGACCUCUAUAAGAAUAUUCCGUGUCUUUUGUGGAAUAUAUCGAGGUCUUGAUCUCUUUAUGGAAUUUUUUAGAUGCCUUUUAAGAGAAUUUAAUACCCUUUAUAUAGGCAUAAACUAGGGUUUAGCGUUGAGUAGCCUCCAAGAAUCCUAAUUUGAGUUGAACACA
rnacentral:lncRNA from 1 species